rnacentral:rRNA from 1 species
GAUGAACGCUAGCGGCAGGCCUAAUACAUGCAAGUCGAACGGUAACAUGAGUAGCAAUACUUGAUGACGAGUGGCGCACGGGUGCGUAACGCGUAUGCAAUCUACCUUCAACUGGUGAAUAGCCCGAAGAAAUUCGGAUUAACACACCAUAGUAUAUUUGAGUGGCAUCACUCGAUUAUUAAAACUCCGGUGGUUGAAGAUGAGCAUGCGUGACAUUAGCUAGUUGGUGAGGUAAUGGCUCACCAAGGCUACGAUGUCUAGGGGAUCUGAGAGGAUUAACCCCCCACACUGGUACUGAGACACGGACCAGACUCCUACGGGAGGCAGCAGUAAGGAAUAUUGGGACAAUGGUCGCAAGACUGAUCCAGCCAUGCCGCGUGCAGGAUGACAGCCCUAUGGGUCGUAAACUGCUUUUUGUACCAGAGAAAACCACCGUACGUGUACGGUGUUGAUAGUAUGGUAAG